ensembl:snoRNA small nucleolar RNA SNORA64/SNORA10 family
CCUCCCUCAGCUCUGGCAAUCACACAGGUCCAGUGUGUGCAUGGUGGAUUUUUAAGCAAGAGAAGAGAGAGGAUGACAUUCCUAAUGCAUUACCGACCUGCCCCAAAGUGGCUUCUCUGUUCCUAAGGAGUUCAUCAGCU